rnacentral:misc_RNA from 1 species
AUAGGUUUGUCUCUGGCCUCGCCUCCAAAGCCAGGUUGGCUAAGAACAGUACCCAGCAGAUUGGUGGUAGGUUGACUUGGAGCAGAAAUUAUGCGGCCAAAGACAUUAAAUUUGGCGUUGAAGCUCGCGCUUUGAUGCUUAAAGGUGUUGAGGAUCUUGCUGAUGCUGUUAAAGUGACUAUGGGACCUAAAGGGCGCAAUGUUGUUUUGGAACAAAGUUGGGGAGCCCCUAAAGUGACAAAAGAUGGUGUCACUGUAGCAAAGAGCAUUGAAUUCCAAGACAGAGUCAAGAACAUAGGGGCUAGCCUUGUAAAGCAGGUUGCAAAUGCUACAAAUGAUGUGGCAGGCGAUGGUACCACAUGUGCAACAGUCCUCACCCGUGCCAUAUUUGUUGAAGGAUGCAAAUCUGUGGCAGCUGGAAUGAAUGCCAUGGACCUAAGACGUGGGAUUUCAAUGGCAGUUGAUGCGGUUAUGACAAACUUGAAGAGCAGAGCAAGGAUGAUUAGCACAUCUGAAGAAAUAGCACAGGUUGGAACAAUAUCAGCAAAUGGAGAAAGAGAGAUCGGUGAGCUGAUAGCCAAGGCAAUGGAGAAAGUUGGCAAAGAGGGUGUC